rnacentral:rRNA from 1 species
AGUGAACGCUGGCGGUAGGCCUAACACAUGCAAGUCGAACGGCAGCACAGUAAGAGCUUGCUCUUACGGGUGGCGAGUGGCGGACGGGUGAGGAAUACAUCGGAAUCUACUUUUUCGUGGGGGAUAACGUAGGGAAACUUACGCUAAUACCGCAUACACCUACGGGUGAAAGCAGGGGAUCUUCGGACCUUGCGCGAAUGAAUGAGCCGAUGUCGGAUUAGCUAGUUGGCGGGGUAAAGGCCCACCAAGGCGACGAUCCGUAGCUGGUCUGAGAGGAUGAUCAGCCACACUGGAACUGAGACACGGUCCAGACUCCUACGGGAGGCAGCAGUGGGGAAUAUUGGACAAUGGGCGCAAGCCUGAUCCAGCCAUACCGCGUGGGUGAAGAAGGCCUUCGGGUUGUAAAGCCCUUUUGUUGGGAAAGAAAAGCAGCAGGUUAAUACCCCGCUGUUCUGACGGUACCCAAAGAAUAAGCACCGGCUAACUUCGUG